rnacentral:tRNA from 1 species
ACUAAGUUGGCAGAGUAUGCAUCUGACUUAGGAUCAGAAGACAGAAAUAUUUCUACUUAGUA